AGUUCGGAUUGUAGUCUGNAACCCGACUACAUGAAGCUGGAAUCGCUAGUAAUCGCGGAUCAGAAUGCCGCGGUGAAUACGUUCCCGGGUCUUGUACACACCGCCCGUCACACCAUGGGAGUCGGAAAUGCCCGAAGUCUGUGACCUAACCGUAAGGAAGGAGCAGCCGAAGGCAGGUCGGAUGACUGGGGUGAAGUCGUAACAAGGUAGC
rnacentral:rRNA from 1 species